ACGUCAGUGAAGGGAGGACAGCAGGAAGGCUUUCAGGGGAAGAUUUGUGGUGUGGAUUCACUCGGCAUUGAUGAGAGCAGCUCCCCAGACAGAUACCGAGAGGAGUAAACCCAGGAGUGCAAGUCCCAAAGCUGACCUCAGGGAGGCCAGAGAGGACCAGAGGACUGCGCUGAGACCAGACCCCUCUACACAGCAGGGGACAGAGCCCGGACUGUUCAUAAGCAAUGCAAGUACACAAGCUGUAACCAAGAACCUUUCUGUGGUUUGUCUUCUAGGAUGAUCAUUUUAAAUGGCUUUCAUGUUACCGUGGUAUAAAAAGACAAACUCACCCAGAUGAGUUAGGAGUGAAAAAUGGAGAAUUUUCCUAACUUUUCCAUUAGUUUUCAGUUGAUGCUUUCAAGUUUCAACUUUAAGAAAAAAAGAAUGGUAUCCUGCUAUAAGAGUUGCCUAAACCUGAUUUGAGUUUCUUCCUGCUCACACCCUUCUGUUGGCAAAUGGUGCAUCUCGCAUCCUGAAAUGCUACCCUAACAGCUUUGUAAUGUAACCCAUUCUGCCUAGUGGCCCUCUGGGGCACAACUAUUCUUUCUGAAACCCCUUAAUGUUCUUUGAAUGACCCCAUUCCCUGGCCUAACCCUU
rnacentral:lncRNA from 1 species